CCUCAGCAAAGAGAAGCUGAAGACAUCACCAGAUUCCAUGUAGCUGGUGGUGGAAGGAUUAACCCACCCCUGAAGUGAGAUGCCUUUGCCCAUAGUAAGGCCUGCAGUGUUAGAGAUGCUGCAAGAUGCUACAACCAACUUUCACAACAAAUGUUAAAAUGCACAUUUUAUGAACACAGAUAUGAAGCUAGACUAUGACCAUGAAGUUAUCCUGAGGUAAAGCUGCUUACUGAAGAUGGUGGGAUGAGAAGAGGAAGAAAGCCUGGGACAUUGAUGACUCAGCCCUCAGCUGCUUAUACCUAGAGUCUCGGGAAGGAAAAAUUAUCUUAUCACCAUGGUCAAGAAGCAAAUCUGUCAUCUGCCCUGGAGGGGAGACAUUAGCUAUACAAACAUCUGUGCAAACAGAACAAAUGCCUUACUCAGAAGAUGUGCAGAAGUGUGAGGAGACACAUGUUGAACUGUCUUUCAACAUUGAGAUUUAGGGAGGAGAAAGAGAUUAUUUAAGAUCAUUGAGAUUUAGGGAGGAGAAAGAGAUUAUUUAAGAUCACCAACUUAAGAUAUUAUUUAUAUCACAAUAAAAUAUGAUAGAAAUAUAUUAUUUCAUAUUUAAUAGUAGGUGGACACACCCUAAGGUGACAGCUAAUGAGUUUUCCUCUUUUGGAAUACAGGAAGGACCUGUGAGUUGGUUUUAACCAAAAAAUACAUGCCAAAAGCGUUAGGAUGUUAUCCCAUGACUAGGUUAGUCAGCUAGCUAUUGUCUGUCUAUCUGUAUCUCAGGAGACCUGUGGCACACAGAUAGAUACACAGAUGAAUCACUAAGAUCAUAUGAUCUCUUAGCAGACCAAGACCAAGACCAAGACCAAGACCUGCUGGCCUUGAAGCAAACGGUCCUGUUGUGACUGCUUGCGGAAAGGUUCACAUUGCAGGAAAUUUGGGUGUCCUCUUGGACCUCCAGCCCGCAACCAAUGACAACCCCCAAAGUCACAAAGCCCCAAGGAUAGAAUUCAGCCAAGAGUUUAAUUGAAUUUGGAAGCAGAUACUUCCCUUUGAGCCCCCAGGCAAGAAUGCAGCCUAAUCAACAUCUUGAUUGCAGCCCUAUGAAUCUCUGAACAGGGGGAAGCUGUGCCCAGACUCCUGACCCAGAGAAACUAUAGGCUAAUAAAUAUGUGCUGUUGUAAGCCGGUAAAUUUGUAGUAAUUUGUUAUGCAGCAAUAGAAAACUAGUGCAAUAGCUCAGCACAGGCCAGAAUUUAAUCUGUUGAACAUCUCUCCUUCAAAUUGAGGCUAACGCCACUCAUUCCUUAGGUUUUCUAAGUCAUUUCUACAAACAAAUCUGGGUGGUUGGUUGUUUUUGCUUCAUAGUCAUCCCAUCCAGAUUAGAACCAAGGUUAAUAAGCUUUCAAGUGAUUCCCUAUUUCCUUUUGUGAAACCUCAUUAAUUUUUCCAAUCCACA